AUCCCUGUAGCGCAAUGAAUAGCGCUUUAAACUUCUAGUCAAAAGGUCGUGGGUUCUAAUCCCUCCUGGGAUA